rnacentral:lncRNA from 1 species
UUACACACAUAUAUAAAUGCCCUAAGCUAGAAAACCCUACUACUAAAUAUUGGCCCUCUAUCCCUCUUUUCUGCGAUGUUCGAUUCUUAUCAAUGAAAGAACGAAAAGGCUAUUUUGAGAUCAUGUGGAUAUGAAUAGAGUCAAGGAAAGAUCUAUAGAUCUUUUAUCCUGCAUUAAAGGUUUCAGACAGAGUGUGUAGUAUGGGGUCUUGCUUACCUCAUUCAAGGAAUAACAAUGAAAGACAGGGGUCAUUGAUUUCGAAAAACUCCGCCUCUUUAUUCGCCUUCUUCCUGAUUUUAAGUUACAGUGAGUCAAUUUCCUUUUUCUGAUUCUAAUCGAUUAAGAACUAUACGUGAUUAACCAACGAAUUGUGGUAGAUUUUAUGUUUCUAUUGCAGUAUUUGGAUUGAAUUGGCUGUUGCAAUUUAAUGAUCGUCAGUUAUAGUUCGUUUUUUGAAUAUAGAGAAACACUGACUUAUUUAAGGUGCUUGAUUUGGGUGAAUAGUAGCAAUAUAAACUGCUAUUGUAAUUUGGUGUGAUAUUCAGUUCAGUAUCAGCAACCUAAUCAAAUUGUGCCCUAAACAUAGAGUAAAUGUGUUCACCAGCAAGGUAAUAAUAUGUACUAAUUUUCAAUUAUCAUUAACUUCUAUUAAGGAAAUAUAGCUAUUAGGUUAUGUCAAGGUAAGCAUAGUUUAUAAAGAAUAUGUUGCAGAAUAAAGUUAAUACAACAUUUUAGUAAUAAAUAAUUAGCUGAUAGUCAAUAACAAUUUUAGUAUGCUAAUGUUGUUAGAGUUAAUAAUAAGGACUAUAAAUUGUUAUUUAACAAUUUUAGUAGAACUGGUGCAACAUUUUUGGUUAAUAGAGCUGUUAGUGACUCGGUUAUUUAUUACUAACUGCUUAAUAGCCCAUUAGCAUAUUAACUCUUGAUUCAAAGUAAUCUCCGAACAAUUAAUAGUCACUAACUGAGUCACUGCCGUUGUUAAGGUACCUGCAUUUUUGUUGUACAUUAACUAUUUGAUUGUUUUACUACCACAUACUAAUCACCCCUGCCAGGUAUGAAGGUGAAUACUUUAUUAACGUGACCGUUUUUAUUGUCGGGUCGAUUUUGAAUCAAUUUUGUUUACUUUUAUCAGUUUUUGGUUUCGGUUUGGUUUUAGGUUGUUUUAUCUUUUUGCAUCGUUUUGGUUUUGAUUUUUCCCAGCAAUUGUUUUGUUUCGAUCUAAGUUUUUUGAGUUCGUUUCGGUAAGAUCUUUUACGUUUUUUGUUCGGUUUUCAGUUUUUUUUUUAGUUUUGUGUAAAUUUAGUUUCCUUUCCGGUUAGAUUCGCUUUAUUUGUUUUUGGUUCAGGUUCGGUUUUCAUUUCAGCAACAUUAUUUGUCUCAGCUUAUUUGUUUCGGUAAAAUUAUUCAGUUUGUAUAGGUUCAUUUUGGUCUGGUUUUGUUUUUUGGUUUGUUUAGGUUUGGUUUCAGUUUCCUUGGUUUUCGCUUUUAGUUGGGUUCCAUUUUUUAUUUAGUCCCCGGUUCGGUUUCUAUUGGCUCAAAACUAUUUAUGCGGAUCAAGUUAAAAACAUAUAUUCACAUACACACACACGCGUGGUUAAGGUACGUUGCAUAAUCUAUACAUCUUGCUUUAAACAGAAGUAGGUGCAACCCAUAAACGAAUUGGAGGUUCAAUGUUAUGUUCGUUUAUUUUCGUUCAUUUAUGUUCGAUGAUUGACUUUCGUUUAUGUCGGGCCUCUCUCUUAUUUGCGUUCGUUUGUAACCAUUCUUUAUUUUCAUUUGAAUGUUCGUUUAAAUUUAUACAUUACUAAUAUUCAUUUGAAAUAGUUUUCAUAUUAUCAAACCAUUUGUUUACUUUUAAAAAGUUGGAUGUAAUGAUGCUGGUAGAAUAUUGACUUCCACCAUGCUGGUAAAAUUAACACAGUUUUACAACCCACCAACCCGAUUACUACUCGCCUGCCUAUUUAAAUAAAUGGGUUGAAUAAGUAAUGAACCGUAUUCAGGUUACAAGAAUUUAAGCGUGACGGAGUUAGACUUGCAUGGAGUUUUCCUACAUAUUUUGAUAGGUCUGUUUAAAUUUGCAUAUAAAAAAUAAUUAUCUGAAUAUGAUUUAUUUCAACUUCAACUUUCAGUAAACAAUUUCUAAGUUUAGCUAUAUCUUAUAUUUAAAAUCAAAAUUUAUGGUUGCUUUAAAUGCAUUACAAUUAACUUUAAUGAAAUAGUACCAGCCUUUAUGACCAUGUUUAAUUAAUGAGCCUCUUCCUUUUCUCCAUAUAUUAAUGUUUAAGUUAGGGUUUAUAGACUUUUCAUAACAAUUCACCUUAAAGGAUUGAUUGGUUAUUAGAUAACUAAUACUUAAUAUUACAAUUAACUUUAAUGAAAUAGUACGAGCCUUUAUGACCAUGUUUAAUCAAUGCGGCUCUUCCUUUUCUCCAUAUAUUAAUUGAAAUAGCUCUAGCACGGGAUUUCUGGACUCUGAGAUACACUACCAGUUUAGCAAAUGGUAGUCUUGAGGUAAGUUUAUUGUACCAUUGACGGUUCACCAUUAUCUUUAGAAAUUUACUUCUGAUGUAUAUGUUGCUUCUUUAAAUAACUGAGAAAUAGAGGCGAAACGAGUUGGUUAACGGGUAUUAAAACAACAUCACAUGACUAUAAGCACAAUGACAAUUGUCACAAAUAGAGGACUACAUUGUACCUAUGCGUCAACUAAAAAUAAAAUUUAAUUAAAUGGACUAAACAACUACAUUAAGUUUGAGACCAGGGUAAAAAUCUAAAACAUCAUUUUUGUUUAUUUUUUUACUUUUAUAACCAGAUGUGUUGCAGGCAUCUGAAAAUGUUACCCUGGGUUAAUUGUAAUAAAUUUUAGUAAAUAAAUAUAUAGAUUAUAUAACUAAACACUUGAAGAACUGUUAGGAUUUGUUAAUUUUGUUGGUUUAUAAACUGCUUUCUGAUCUAUAAAAGGGAACAAAACCUGCAAUUUGACUUUUAGAUGUUAAAACUAAAUUUAUAUGUAUAUGUGUAUGUAGUAUAAUACGUAUAUAUAUAUAUAACAUCUAUUUUACACCAUU